rnacentral:lncRNA from 1 species
UGCAGAAUGCACUCAUCAACGUCGUUAGCCUGCGCGUGUGGUAGAUGCUGAGGGGACGUAUCAUGCUCUUCAGGCAAUGACUUGUUAUUCUCUUGAUUUAUAAUUUACUGCAUGUUUAACCCGCAUGUAUCAGGUACCAAAUAAAGUACUAACUUCCCUCUAAAUAUAUAAUCGUCUCGGUUUUAUUCUUUGUCCUUUCAAGAUCUCGCGCUUUACUCGUUUAGUAUCACGAUAGAUUAACAAACUAGUUAUGAUCAAUUUCUUGGCUCAUAACCUUCUCCUUUAAUUAUAACUCCCUAAUGUGUUAGGUGAGUUAAUAAUUAAAGAAGGUUUUGAAAUACGUUAACAAUCCAAUAUGUCUAUGUUGGGUCAUCACGAGGGGGCAGCCGAGGAUCAUCCACAUUGGGCUUAAGAACAACUCUACAAGUGAGUUGGACACCACACUCUUAUCCAAAACCUUAAGGUGUUAGGUUUAUGGGUCAUCUCACUUAUAAAGUGUUCAACCUCCACUUUUCUAAGCAAUGUGGGACUUAACCACUCACACUUGCCACAACAGUCUAAAGACUAAAGUUAUUGUUAAAUGAACAAUUAGCCUAGAUCAUAAUUGGACUCAUCUAGAGACAUAAUCUUAUGAGAAUUAAGCUACUCAUAAUUGGAACCGAAAUUGCUAU